UACGUAGGGGGCGAGCGUUGUCCGGAUUCAUUGGGCGUAAAGCGCGCGUAGGCGGCUUGGCAAGUCGGCCGUGAAAUCUCCGGGCUCAACUCGGAGGGGUCGGGCGAGACUGCCAGGCUCGAGGUGGGCAGAGGGCAGUGGAAUUCCGGGUGUAGUGGUGGAAUGCGUAGAGAUCCGGAGGAACACCAGUGGCGAAGGCGGCUGCCUGGGCCUGGCCUGACGCUGAGGCGCGAAAGCGUGGGGAGCGAUCCGG
rnacentral:rRNA from 1 species